rnacentral:rRNA from 1 species
UACGUAGGGUGCGAGCGUUAAUCGGAAUUACUGGGCGUAAGGCGUGCGCAGGCGGUCUGUUAAGACCGAUGUGAAAUCCCCGGGCUUAACCUGGGAACUGCAUUGGUGACUGGCAGGCUUUGAGUGUGGCAGAGGGAGGUAGAAUUCCACGUGUAGCAGUGAAAUGCGUAGAGAUGUGGAGGAAUACCGAUGGCGAAGGCAGCCUCCUGGGCCAACACUGACGCUCAUGCACGAAAGCGUGGGGAGCAAACAGG